UUUAAAGUUUGUUUCUGUUUAUUUGAGAUCUUGGUACAUUCAUAAUUCAUUAGUACAUUCAUAAUUCAUUAGUACAUUCAUUCUUUUAGCAACAAUUAACGAAAUUCAUCGUAGAAAUCUUUCUGGAAAUUUGAAGAAAACGGAAAUUUCAUGGGGGCUCAUUUAUACAAUAAAUGAACAUAGAAGAAUAAAUGAUAGCAUUAUUUGAAAAAUAUCAUCUUAGAUUAUCCAUUCUAGAUUGAAAUACAUUACUCCUAUUACACCAGCACUGCCAACUGUACCUUUCAUCAGGGUGUAAAAAAUGCUAUUUUUGCCUGUCGGAAAGCUUCUAUAUUCUUAUUAUCAUUGUGCAACAUGAAAAAUGCAAUGAAGCUUCACCUUAUUAUAGUUUUACAAAGAACAGUUGUAUCUUUUUAAAAUUCAUGUACAGAUUUGUGUGGGGCUUUUUCUUUUGAGCGAAUAAAUUCAUUAGGUAAUUCA